AGAAAGGUAGGUAGCAAUCUCUGGUGCUGCACGACUGAAAAACAAAACAAACCAAGCAAACAAACAAAAAAUUCCAAGCCGGUUAAAAGAAGCUUUCCCACCUACUCUUAUUAUUGAAUUUCUCUCCUUAAAACAGUUGCAGAGUUUCCCCGAAGUGCCCGGCCAGCCGUGCUCCCGCUGCUCGAUGCCGUGGGCGCUUUCGCUGUGUGCAGAGCCCCGGGGCCGCGCCGGGCCAGGAGGAGCGGAGCCACCUGGGGCAGUCGGGUUUUCCUCGGACACCCACCUGUGUCGUGUCUGCGUCAGCCUCAGAACCGUGCCAGCCUGAGAAAGGUGCCGUUUCCUUUUUGCUCUGUGCUGAUGCGGGAGGAGCAGGCGGGCAAAGGACCAAAGGAGCAGGAACUGUGCCUUGAAGAUUCUCCCGGCGCUUUCAGGAGGAUGCUGGGCUGAGCCAAAAUCAAAGUGCUCUGCUGGGCUCACGUUGUGCUGCUGAGGAGUUGCUUUCAGAGGAAUUCCCUCACCCGGUCAGAAAUCUCAGCAUCUGUUGCAGCCGGGAUGCAUUCCUUGAUCGUUUCUGAGUCUGCAAUUAUUUUUCUGCCUGCCCAGUGUCCCAGGGACAUGAAAUGAAGCUGCUGCUCUCUGCUGCUGAGCACUGAAACUCUGCACCAACAUUCAAUUUGAUCUCUUGGAACAGACUGCAAUGAAGUGGUUUCAUCAGCACACACUUGUGAUAAAAAGGCGACGUGAAGAAAGCCAUCGAACUAAAAGGCCCUGCGUUUUUCUGGGAAGACAAUAGGAUAUCUGUCUCUUCAUUUGUUUCACGGAUUCCUUGUGCAGCCAUUUAAAUUCACCAGAAGGCUCCAAAUGUCUAAACUUUAUCCUGGGCAUUUUUUAUUUUUUUUAUUUUUAUUUUUUUCAGUGCUGGAAAGGAAUAGAGUUAAGUAUCCCAAGGGGAGUUUUAUAGAAAAUGCUAUGUGCAAUGUUAAUGAGCUGGGAAGGGGUCAUAUGUUUUUCCAUAUAGAGCCUAUACAGAAACAAAUACGGAACCUGAGGAGAAACCAUCUGCGGGGACACAGUGAUGUGUGCCAGUGGGUGAUCCUGGGCUGCUGUCACUCCUAAAAGAUGGGCAAAAGACUUCAAUCCCAAGAGCCCCCCCCCCGUGCCCCCUCAUGGCUCCAUGCCGGGCUGGGUGAAUAGCUGGGGCUGGAAGAAAUGACAAACUUCUUGGGUGCCACAAGAGAUUGCUUCAGCGUUACUGAUCCUCACUCUGCUCGUUACUGAAAAUGCAUCCAGCAGCUAUAUGGGUCAGACUGCUAAAUUUGUAGACACGGAGUGUCAGGAAGCCUUUUUGUCAACUUGGUACCGUUUAGUAUAUUUGUCCUCAAGUUCAAAGCAAUCCUGGCCCCAGACUUGUGAUAUUUUCUGCCCUUUCCCCUC